rnacentral:lncRNA from 1 species
AAGAAGUCAGGCCGGAUUAAGCCAUAGUACGGUAAGAGCUAUGCUGCCUGUGAGCCCCGUCCAAGGACGUAAAAUGAAGUCAGGCCGAAAGCCACGGCUUGAGCAAACCGUGCUGCCUGUAGCUCCAUCGUGGGGAUGUAAAAACCUGGGAGGCUGCAACCCAUGGAAGCUGUACGCAUGGGGUAGCAGACUAGUGGUUAGAGGAGACCCCUCCCGAAACAUAACGCAGCAGCGGGGCCCAACACCAGGGGAAGCUGUACCCUGGUGGUAAGGACUAGAGGUUAGAGG